rnacentral:piRNA from 1 species
CUCAAAAAGUGAUUCUUGUGA